rnacentral:rRNA from 1 species
AGAACGAACGCUGGCGGCAUGCCUAACACAUGCAAGUCGAACGAGACCUUCGGGUCUAGUGGCGCACGGGUGCGUAACGCGUGGGAAUCUGCCCUUCGGUUCGGAAUAACUCAGGGAAACUUGAGCUAAUACCGGAUAAUGACUUCGGUCCAAAGAUUCAUCGCCGAGGGAUGAGCCCGCGUAGGAUUAGCUUGUUGGUGAGGUAAAGGCUCACCAAGGCGACGAUCCUUAGCUGGUCUGAGAGGAUGAUCAGCCACACUGGGACUGAGACGCGGCCAGACUCCUACGGGAGGCAGCAGUGGGGAAUAUUGGACAAUGGGCGAAAGCCUGAUCCAGCAAUGCCGCGUGAGUGAUGAAGG